GAUGAACGCUGGCGGCGUGCCUAAUACAUGCAAGUCGAGCGCGAAGAUCAGGAGCUUGCUCCUGAGAUUUGAGCGGCGGACGGGUGAGUAACACGUAGGCAACCUACCCUUGAGAUUGGGAUAACUACCGGAAACGGUAGCUAAUACCGGAUACGACUUUUCCACACAAGUGGAACUGUUAAAAGGCGGAUUUAUCUGCCGCUCAUGGAUGGGCCUGCGGUGCAUUAGCUAGUUGGUGAGAUAGUAGCUCACCAAGGCGACGAUGCAUAGCCGACCUGGGAGGGUGAUCGGCCACACUGGGACUGAGACACGGCCCAGACUCCUACGGGAGGCAGCAGUAGGGAAUCUUCCGCAAUGGACGAAAGUCUGACGGAGCAACGCCGCGUGAGUGAUGAAGGGUUUCGGCUCGUAAAACUCUGUUGUUAAGGAAGAACACUUGAGGUAGUAACUGGCCUUGAGAUGACGGUACUUAACCAGAAAGCCACGGCUAACUACGUGCCAGCAGCCGCCGUAA
rnacentral:rRNA from 1 species